rnacentral:rRNA from 1 species
AGAUUGAACGCUGGCGGCAUGCCUUACACAUGCAAGUCGAACGCGAAAGGGGGGCAACCCCCCGAGUAGAGUGGCGAACGGGUGAGUAAUACAUCGGAACGUAUCCAGUAGCGGGGGAUAACCUCUCGAAAGAGAGGCUAAUACCGCAUACGACCUACGGGUGAAAGAGGGGGAUCGCAAGACCUCUCACUAUUGGAGCGGCCGAUGUCGGAUUAGCUAGUUGGCGGGUAACGCCCACCAAGGCUACGAUCCGUAGCUGGUCUGAGAGGACGACCAGCCACACUGGAACUGAGACACGGUCCAGACUCCUACGGGAGGCAGCAGUGGGGAAUUUGGACAAUGGGCGCAAGCCUGAUCCAGCCAUGCCGCGUGAGUGAAGAAGGCCUUGGGUUGUAAGUCUCGUUUCGGCGUGGGACGAAAGGUCCGGUAGUUAACGACCACGGAUCCAUGACGUACCACGACGAGAAGAACGACGACCGGACC